rnacentral:lncRNA from 1 species
AAGUAGGGUGCAUUCAGAAAGAGGCAGAGCUAAAGUGAUGUUGCUGAAGAAGGAGAGCAAGAAGAAGCAAGGAGCGGAGUCACCCCCAGGUCGUGUGGGUCCCUGGAUACAGCUGCACCUGAUGCCACACACACUUCUGCACACCUCAAGUAAGCAGAGACAACACCUCAGAGAAACAGCUGACCAUAUAUGGGAAGCAGGACUUCCUGAGACCAAAGCAAAGAAUGUUGGAGUGUCUGCAGUUCAGGGAGAGAUUCAUCUGAAGAGGAGGAAAUAAAG